rnacentral:rRNA from 1 species
GAUCUGGUUGAUUCUGCCAGUAGUCAUAUGCUUGUUU